GGAUUGUGGCUCAGCGGUAGUGCCCUUGCCUGACAUGUAUGAGGCACUGGGUUCGAUUCUCAGCAUCA
rnacentral:tRNA from 1 species